GACUUCCUGUGCUUGACAUGUAUGAACUUUUUCUCUCUUUGCCGUGUACUAGCGUUCAGUGCUGUCUGGGAGGAACCCGGGUUUCAUAUCAAGUGUUGUUUAUCCAGCUACAACAUGAGGAUUUGGCAGCUUCAUCUCUAUCUACUCAUAUGGUGUCCAUCAGCAGAGACUUUAACAGAUCAUCUAACAGUUUUGGGGCAAGAUGUGACUAUAACCUGUGAUCUUAAUCAAACUGAGGUGUAUUGGUUUUUACUGAAACAACUUGGUUCUUCAGUUGCGAUAUUACGCUCCUUCUCAAACAAUUUUCCUCAUUACUACAACAAAGUAUUUAAGCUCAAAUAUGCAGUAAACUCUAAACAUCAUCUGUUCAUAAAUAAUGUCACCAUUGAUGAUUUAGGAGUUUAUUGCUGUAUGAGUACAAAUACUGAUCCACAAUUCAGCAAUGCCACCAGACUAUACAUCAUUGACCCAACUCCACCAACUGAGUGUCAGAAUUAUACAGAAGUGCAGUAUAUUCAGCAGAAUCAGACAACUUGGCAGACUCUUACCCUCAUGUUUGGCCUGAUAAAUGCUGUUUUGGUUUUUGUUGUCAUAGGUG